AUUGAACGCUGGCGGCAGGCCUAACACAUGCAAGUCGAACGAGUGGCGGACGGGUGAGUAAUGUCUGGGAAACUGCCCGAUGGAGGGGGAUAACUACUGGAACCGGUAGCUAAUACCGCAUACCAUCGGAUGUGCCCCGAUGGGAUUAGCUAGUAGGUGGGGUAACGGCUCACCUAGGCGACGAGCCCUAGCUGGUCUGUGAGGAUGACCAGCGACACUGGAACUGAGACAGGGUCCAGACUCCUACGGGAGGCAGCAGUGGGGAAUAUUGCACAAUGGGCGCAAGCCUGAUGCAGCCAGGCCGCGUGUAUGAAGAAGGCCUUCGGGUUGUAAAGUACUUUCAGCGGGGAGGCGUUACUCGCAGAAGAAGCACCGGCUAACUCCGUGCCAGCAGCCGCGGUAAUUC
rnacentral:rRNA from 1 species